GAUGAACGCUGACAGAAUGCUUAACACAUGCCAGUCUUUGGCGAAUCUGUGCUUGCACAGGCUAGCCAAGGCGGACGGGUGAGUAACGCGUAAAGAACUUGCCCUGCAGACAGGGAUAACAGACGGAAACGACUGAUAACACCUGAUACAGUUGCCGGCACGCAUGUGCCUGGCAAUGAAAAGAGAUGCUGCAGGAGAGCUUUGCGUCCUAUUAGCUUGUUGGUGAGGUGACGGCUCACCAAGGCGAUGAUAGGUAGCCGGCCUGAGAGGGUGAACGGCCACAAGGGGACUGAGAUACGGCCCUUACUCCUACGGGAGGCAGCAGUGGGGAAUAUUGGACGAUGGGGGCAACCCUGAUCCAGCAAUUCUGUGUGCACGAAGAAGGUUUUCGGAGUGUAAAGUGCUUUCAGCAGGGAAGAAGAAAGUGACGGUACCUGCAGAAGAAGCGACGGCUAAAUACGUG
rnacentral:rRNA from 1 species